AGCAGCCGCGGUAAUUCCAGCUCCAAUAGCGUAUAUUAAAGUUGUUGCAGUUAAAAAGCUCGUAGUUGAAUUUCGGGAUCAAUUUAUUGGUCGUGCUAUUGUACGUACUGGUAUUAUUGAUUCCUACCUUCUGACGAACCAUGAUGUCAUUAAUUUGGUGUCUUGGGGAAUCAGGACUGUUACUUUGAAAAAAUUAGAGUGUUUAAAGCAGGCUCACGCUUGAACACAUUAGCAUGGAAUAACGAAAUAGGACGUUUGAUUCUAUUUUGUUGGUUUCUAGGAUCGACGUAAUGAUUAAUAGGGAUAGUUGGGGGCAUUAGUAUUCAAUUGUCAGAGGUGAAAUUCUUGGAUUUAUUGAAGACUAACUACUGCGAAAGCAUUUGCCAAGGAUGUUUUCAUUAAUCAAGAACGAAAGUUAGGGGAUCGAAGACGAUCAGAUACCGUCGUAGUCUUAACCAUAAACUAUGCCGACUAGGGAUCGGAUGAUGUUAAUUUUUAAUGACUCAUUCGGCGCCUUAAC
rnacentral:rRNA from 1 species